rnacentral:rRNA from 1 species
UACAGAGGUCCCAAGCGUUGUUCGGAUUCACUGGGCGUAAAGGGUGCGUAGGUGGCUUGGUAAGUUUGAUGUGAAAUCUCCGGGCUUAACCCGGAAAUGGCAUUGAAUACUAUUGAGCUGGAGGUUUGGAGGGGGGACUGGAAUUCUCGGUGUAGCAGUGAAAUGCGUAGAUAUCGAGAGGAACACCAGUGGCGAAGGCGAGUCCCUGGACAACACCUGACACUAAGGCACGAAAGCUAGGGGAGCAAACAGG